rnacentral:rRNA from 1 species
GGAGCGGCAGACGGGUGAGUAACACGUGGGAACGUACCCUUUACUACGGAAUAGCUCCGGGAAACUGGAAUUAAUACCGUAUGUGCCCUUCGGGGGAAAGAUUUAUCGGUAAAGGAUCGGCCCGCGUUGGAUUAGCUAGUUGGUGGGGUAAAGGCCUACCAAGGCGACGAUCCAUAGCUGGUCUGAGAGGAUGAUCAGCCACAUUGGGACUGAGACACGGCCCAAACUCCUACGGGAGGCAGCAGUGGGGAAUAUUGGACAAUGGGCGCAAGCCUGAUCCAGCCAUGCCGCGUGAGUGAUGAAGGCCCUAGGGUUGUAAAGCUCUUUCACCGGUGAAGAUAAUGACGGUAACCGGAGAAGAAGCCCCGGCUAACUUCGUGCCAGCAGCCGCGGUAAUACGAAGGGGGCUAGCGUUGUUCGGAAUUACUGGGCGUAAAGCGCACGUAGGCGGAUAUUUAAGUCAGGGGUGAAAUCCCAGAGCUCAACUCUGGAACUGCCUUUGAUACUGGGUAUCUUGAGUAUGGAAGAGGUAAGUGGAAUUGCGAGUGUAGAGGUGAAAUUCGUA